rnacentral:lncRNA from 1 species
AAGGCACCAUCUUUGAAGCAGGAAGUGAGCCUUCACCAGACAGCAAAUCUACCGGCAUCUUGAUCUCGGACUUCCCAGCCUCCAGAAUUAGCAACUCCGCAGGACUCAAAGUACAUUCCCUGGUUACUAACAAAGACAUCACAACCACCCUGACUACAUCUUUGGCAGACCACAAGAGGGCACCAAACUUCAUCUUUCCGGCUGAGAAAAACAGCAUCUGGGCAUUGCGAAGUACAAAAUGAAGAGGUGGCCAAAGGAACAAGUUGUUAUUGUUUGUCUUUGUUCCCUAAUAAAAUUAGAAACAUAUCUUUAUAUUA